rnacentral:rRNA from 1 species
UACAGAGGUCUCAAGCGUUGUUCGGAUUUAUUGGGCGUAAAGAGCGUGUAGGCGGCCAUACAGGUCAGCUGUGAAAACUCGAGGCUCAACCUCGAGACGUCGGUUGAAACCGUAUGGCUAGAGUCCGGAAGAGGAGAGUGGAAUUCCCGGUGUAGCGGUGAAAUGCGCAGAUAUCGGGAAGAACACCCGUGGCGAAGGCGGCUCUCUGGGACGGUACUGACGCUGAGACGCGAAAGCGUGGGGAGCGAACAGG